rnacentral:rRNA from 1 species
UACGGAGGGUGCGAGCGUUGUCCGGAAUCACUGGGCGUAAAGGGCGCGUAGGCGGCUUCUCAAGCGUGUGGUGAAAGUCCGGGGCUCAACCCCGGAUCGGCCGUGCGGACUGGGGAGCUCGAGUUCUGUAGAGGCGGGUGGAAUUCCGGGUGUAGCGGUGGAAUGCGUAGAGAUCAGGUGGAACACCGAUGGCGAAGGCAGCACUCUGGCCGAGUUACUGACGCUGAGGCGCGAAAGCUGGGGGAGCGAACGGG